rnacentral:ncRNA from 1 species
CAAGCGACAUUGAAAAGAUAAGUAAUUAGCGUGUACCGUCAAAGAGAGCUACGGAUGGUGAGAAGUAGUACGGGAGGACCUGAUGAAGAUGGUCUUGGAGUCCAUUAAAUUGCAAGCAUAAGUUAGCAAUUUACGGGGGAUGCCCGAUAUAGCAUCCGAGUAUAAUUUCUCAAUUAGAGAAACGUACUUAGUGAGAGCAUCAAUGUGAAUUGAUACUGAACACAGGGUGGUAACACGCGUGAGCGUCCCUGGA